rnacentral:rRNA from 1 species
CCUACGGGGGGCUGCAGUGGGGAAUAUUGGACAAUGGGCGAAAGCCUGAUCCAGCCAUGCCGCGUGUGUGAAGAAGGCCUUCGGGUUGUAAAGCACUUUCAGUGGGGAAGAAAGCCUUGGGGCUAAUACCCUCGAGGAAGGACAUCACCCACAGAAGAAGCACCGGCUAACUCCGUGCCAGCAGCCGCGGUAAUACGGAGGGUGCGAGCGUUAAUCGGAAUUACUGGGCGUAAAGCGCGCGUAGGCGGUCUGAUAAGCCGGUUGUGAAAGCCCCGGGCUCAACCUGGGAACGGCAUCCGGAACUGUCAGGCUAGAGUGCAGGAGAGGAAGGUAGAAUUCCCGGUGUAGCGGUGACAUGCGUAGAGAUCGGGAGGAAUACCAGUGGCGAAGGCGGCCUUCUGGACUGACACUGACGCUGAGGUGCGAAAGCGUGGGUAGCAAACAGGAUUAGAUACCCGAGUAGUC